rnacentral:tRNA from 1 species
UGGCUGAAUUAGGCAAUAAACUGUAAAUUUAUUUAUGAAUUUUUGGAUUCUUUUAC